rnacentral:rRNA from 1 species
CGAACGCUGGCGGCGUGCUUAACACAUGCAAGUCACGGGGGCCCGCAAGGGUAACCGGCGAACGGGUGCGUAACACGUGAGCAAGCUUCCGAUUUGUGGGGGAUAGCCGGCCCAACGGCCGGGUAAUACCGCAUACGUUCAUCGAGCGGCAUCGCUUGGUGAGGAAAUCUCCGGGGCAAAUCGAGGUGCUCGCGGCCUAUCAGCUAGUUGGUGAGGUAACGGCUCACCAAGGCGACGACGGGUAGCUGGUCUGAGAGGAUGGCCAGCCACAUUGGGACUGCGACACGGCCCAGACUCCUACGGGAGGCAGCAGUGGGGAAUAUUGCGCAAUGGACGAAAAGUCUGACGCAGCGACGCCGCGUGUGGGAUGAAGCCUUUCGGGGCGUAAACCACUGUUGCCCGGGACGAACCUCCCCAUUCGUGGGGACUGACGGUACCGGGUGAGGAAGCACCGGGCUA